rnacentral:tRNA from 1 species
CCUUUUAAGGGAGACCUACCCAACUUUGAUUAUCGAAAGCGAGUGUGCAAAUAGAUGCAAAGAAGGUAAUUCCUAGGUCGGUCUUGGGACUUGUUGGGGCUUUCAAACUAUGAUUUGGUUCAAUUGGGCUAUUAGCUCAGGUGGUUAGAGCGCACCCCUGAUAAGGGUGAGGUCCCUGGUUCGAGUCCAGGAUGGCCCACCUGAAAAAAGGAGCCAGAACUCAGGAGUCAGGAAUCAGAAUAAAAUUAUGAAUUCUGAGUGCUGAAUACUGAAUUCUUGAUUCUGGGGGUUUAGCUCAGUUGGUAGAGCGCCUGCUUUGCAAGCAGGAUGUCAGCGGUUCGAGUCCGCUAACCUCCACCUGUAAAAAGCCAAGAACAGAUAAGAGCAAAUUCAGCAACAUGACACAGGGGUGUCAGACUGCUGAGGAUGUCUCAGCCAGAACCUUGAAAACUGCAUAGUAACGCGAACAUUAGCAGGCAGACACAGACAUGAUUAAAGUAGUGAAAGUGUUUGGAUGGUGAAACACCAAAUGUUGAAAGUGGUCAAGCU